UAAUAGACUACCCCGGUAGUCCACGCCCUAAACGAUGCGAACUGGAUGUUGGGUACAUUACGGUACUCAGUGUCGAAGCUAACGCGUUAAGUUCGCCGCCUGGGGAGUACGGUCGCAAGACUGAAACUCAAAGGAAUUGACGGGGGCCCGCACAAGCGGUGGAGUAUGUGGUUUAAUUCGAUGCAACGCGAAGAACCUUACCUGGCCUUGACAUCUGUCGAAUCCUGCAGAGAUGCGGGAGUGCCGCAAGGAACGACAAGACAGGUGCUGCAUGGCUGUCGUCAGCUCGUGUCGUGAGAUGUUGGGUUAAGUCCCGCAACGAGCGCAACCCUUGUCCCUAGUUGCCAGCACGUAAUGGUGGGAACUCUAGGGAGACUGCCGGUGACAAACCGGAGGAAGGUGGGGAUGACGUCAAGUCCUCAUGGCCCUUACGGCCAGGGCUACACACGUACUACAAUGGUCGGUACAGAGGGUUGCGAAGCCGCGAGGUGAAGCCAAUCCCAGAAAACCGAUCCCAGUCCGGAUUGGAGU
rnacentral:rRNA from 1 species